ensembl:snRNA LOC120097223 U1 spliceosomal RNA
CUCUUUAUAAAGCAGGGGAGAAACCAUAAUCUCAAAGGUGGUUUCUGCAGGGCGAAGCUUAUCCGUUGCACUCCAGAUGUGCUGACCCCUGCUAUUCCCCCAAUGAUGGGAAAUUCAGCUGCAUCAGUGGUAGUGGAGAAAUUCAUGCAUGUCCCCCAC